rnacentral:rRNA from 1 species
UCCGACCUCAGAUCGGACGAGAUUACCCGCUGAAUUUAAGCAUAUUACUAAGCGGAGGAAAAGAAACUAACAAGGAUUUCCCCAGUAACGGCGAGUGAAGCGGGAAGAGCCCAGCACCGAAUCCCUCAGUGUCAUGCUGACGGGAACUGUGGUGUGUGGGACGCCACCAGUCGCAUCGGAGGGUGCCGAAGUCCUCCUGAUCGGGGCUUCACCCAGAGCGGGUGUAAGGCCUUUGCAGGUGCUUCUCCGUGCGGCCGCGAGCGUCUCAGGAGUCGGGUUGUUUGGGAAUGCAGCCCAAAGCGGGUGGUAA